GUGGAGCUGUCAAGAAGCUUUGAUGCCUAGAUUUCCGAAUGGGGCAACCCAGUAUAUAGAGAUAUAUACUACCAUAAUGGAGCGAACGAGGGGAAUUGAAACAUCUUAGUACCCUCAGGAAAAGAAAUCAAUAGAGAUUGCGUCAGUAGCGGCGAGCGAAAGCGCAAGAGGGCAAACCCAGUGCUUGCACUGGGGGUUGUAGGACUGCAGUGUGCAAGAGGAAAGGUUAGCAGAACACUCUGGAAAGUGUAGCCAUAGAGGGUGAUAGUCCCGUAUGCAAAAACCUAACCUUAGCUAGCAGUAUCCUGAGUAGGGCGGGACACGAGAAAUCCUGUCUGAAGCUGGGUAGACCACUAUCCAACCCUAAAUACUCCUACCAGAUCGAUAGCGAACAAGUACCGUGAGGGAAAGGUGAAAAGAACGGCGGUGAGCCGAGUGAAAUAGAACCUGAAACCAUUUGCUUACAAUCAUUCAGAGCACUAUGUAGCAAUACAGUGUGAUGGACUGCCUUUUGCAUAAUGAGCCUGCGAGUUGUGGUGUCUGGCAAGGUUAAGCUAACGCGAAGCCGUAGCGAAAGCGAGUCUGAAUAGGGCGCUAAGUCAGAUGCUGCAGACCCGAAACGAAGUGAUCUAUCCAUGAGCAGGUUGAAGCUAGUGUAAGAACUAGUGGAGGACCGAACCCGCUAGCGUUGAAAAGCUAUGGGAUGACUUGUGGAUAGGGGUGAAAGGCCAAUCAAACUUCGUGAUAGCUGGUUCUCUCCGAAAUAUAUUUAGGUAUAGCGUUGUGUCGUAAUAUAAGGGGGUAGAGCACUGAAUGGGCUAGGGCAUACACCAAUGUACCAAACCCUAUCAAACUCCGAAUACCUUAUAUGUAAUCACAGCAGUCAGGCGGCGAGUGAUAAAAUCCGUCGUCAAGAGGGAAACAACCCAGACUAACAGCUAAGGUCCCCAAAUCUUACUUAAGUGGAAAACGAUGUGAAGUUACUUAAACAACCAGGAGGUUGGCUUAGAAGCAGCCAUCCUUUAAAGAAAGCGUAAUAGCUCACUGGUCUAGUGAUUUUGCGCGGAAAAUAUAACGGGGCUAAAGUAAGUACCGAAGCUUUAGACUUGCACACAACUUAGAUG
rnacentral:rRNA from 1 species